UUGAAUAAAUUUAUGUGUGUAUAUGUGUGUGUGUGUGUGUGUGUAUAUAUACACACACACACAUACAUGUACACACAUACACACGAAUUUUC
rnacentral:miRNA from 1 species